UGAGGUGUGGCUUUACAUAUAAAAAGUGGCAGGUGACAGGUGAGUCAGUGGAUCAAGUUACCAGCACACAGUUUUGGUGAACUCACUCUGAUCUGAACUUACAGGGUGUGAGGUUUGAAAUUUGGAGAUGUCUGGAAAGGGAAGAGGCGGGCAUUGUCAUGAAGGAGGGCAUGGACAUGGCCAUGGUGGUGGACAUGGUCAUGGUGGUGGACACGGACAUGA